GCUUGCAAGCAAAACAAUUUAGUGCAGUUUUGUUUUCAUUUAUUUCCAGAAACCAUGUCCAAAGAUAUUAUAAAAGCAUAUCAACCCCAGAGAGAAAAAGAAGGAGGAAUCAAAACGACAAAAAAAAGCAUAAGUAGCUGAGGGAACUAAAGAAUUAAGUUCUUAAAGUUGCACUAGGCAACUUGGUGCACAGGCAACAAGGACCUUUUUGACAACUGUUUGAACUUCAGUACCAACAAAUCAUGAAACGUACCUGGAGCAAACUUCAUGCAGCCAGCUCAAGUUCAGCAACCCAGCGGCUCUGUGAUGCUUUACAGCAAAGGAUAGCCGAGAGAUCAGAGAGGCAAAAGAUCUCAUGCUGUUCGUUGCCAAAAUCCGCACCUGGCUGGCACGCCGUGCACGUCCUCCUGCUACCUCCACAGCUGUUCAGAAGAAACACCGUCCCUCCCAUUCCUGAAAAUUCACAAUCCAUGAACAGUGGAUUAGUGCACCAUACUUAGAGCGCUGAUCAGCUUGGCCCAGUUGAGGAAAAGCAAAAUCGAAGACAUUUGGCACAUUCCCCAAGGAACUUGACCCUAAAAUGAGUCUCAAUGUACAGGGAGUGGUUUAACAGAUGGGGGGUCCAUACAGCUGAGAGGAUGGCUGAGUGCAGUCCAGAGGACAGA